AACAUUAUAGUGGAAAGAUAAGUAUCAAAAUUUUCAAAAUUUUAAUAUUUUUCUCUUUGUUUUAAUUUUCGACAAUCGAAUAUUUCAUCGGGUCUGGAUCCUGACAUGAAAACUAUUUCAGAUUCUGCCCGCCAAAAGAUCAGGUCCUAGUUGACUUCAAGUCGAAUAUGGAUGUAACGUAUUCAGAUCUAUAUCCGAAACUUCUUGUUAAUUUUUCUUACUCAUAUAAUAUUCAUUUUUAAUCGGAUUCAAAUCAGGUAUGGGAUAUUGGGUAUUUUGGACAUCUAUAUUCUUCGGUGGGA
rnacentral:lncRNA from 1 species